AAGUCGAGGUAGGUGGUCCAGAGCUAGAACGAUGGCUCCACAAUCAUCAAGGCAUCCUCAGGGUAUAGUACCUGCUGUGGUUAAAGGCUCUUUCUCUUCAGAGUGAAAUACGGAUGGAGAUAAGACAGUCAUUGAAAAAUUAUGAGCAACAGGGAAGCUCUCUCUGCGGGGUAAAAGUGGGUUGAGGGACUUGAAGAAACCUUGUCGGGUUGUUUUCAGGUUAGGCGCUGGGUCUGGCUUGAUCAGUAGGUCUGAUUCAGGUGAAGGGCUGGUUUCUAGGCGUGGGGAACUCGGCCUCCCCCUUACUGUGAAACUUCGGGCAAACCACUUCCCCUUUCUGGAUUUUAUCUCCUUCCCCUGUUAACCAGGAGGUUGGACAUAUUUGAACUUUAAUAACAGAGCUCUUUGAACUCUCCUAUAAAACCCUAGUGUAUACAUUAGAUUAAAGCUCCACAAUCAUCCAGACCCCUGCUCUUUCCCUCAUGUUGCUCUGCAGUGCUCAACACUUGACUUCCACCUUGUGACCCAAGACUGCAGCUCCAGCUCCUGCCCUCAAGUCUGCAUUCCAUCCAGCAGGAAGGAGGAAAGGGGGAGAGCCUACUGUUUUCUUUCAGGGACAGAAGUUGCCCAAAUCACUUCUUUUCACAUCCUAUAAUUUGGUCAUAUGGCUGCACCUAGCUGCAAGAAAUCUCUUCAGCUGAAAAGUCUUGCGACCAGCUAAAAAUUGUAUCACUAGUAAAAGAAGAGAACAGAUAAAGGGGGCAAAUAGAAGUCUCUUCUCCAAGGUCUGUCUGCUUCUUAAGCUUGAGAAACACUUAUUCCUACCAUUCUUUCCAGGUCCUGGCUACUGCUUUUUGGACUAUACUUUGCAAUUAUACCAUCAUUUGAGGGAUAAACUGGACUCUGCCCUGGUGAUUUGGAUAUUCUGAAAGGAGCACAAGCUUUGAAAUCAGACGUAGCUGGCUUUGAAUCCUCGUUCUGCUUCUUACUAUCCAUGUGGCCUGUGUGAGACAUUUCAUCUGUUGGCUUUAGUUUUCUCACAUUUAAAACAAAGUACUUGUUAAGAACAGAGGAAGAAAGAAGGCCUGAAAGCAAGGAAGAACAAAAGAAGGAAUAGAAAGAGGAAGGAAGAAAGGAAAAAGGUGGGAAACUAACCAUUAUUGAGCACUAUAAGUAACAGUUUUAAUUAAAUGCUGUUUCAUUUCCUCUUGAUAACACACAUGUGAAAUAAAUGUUAUUAUCGCGUCUUUUGAAGAAUGAAAUUGAGGCUCAGGAGGUGAAGUCACUUGUCCAAGUUCACACAGUGCAUGGGAAGCAGAAUGAAAAACUGGAACAAGGUCUGAGAAGUGGAAGCAAGUUCUUCUUGAAUCAUGAGUCAGUCACUGGCACAGUCAAUUGUGAGGAUUGAUGAACUGAGUAGAAAGCUAAAGAAUCCUUUUUUUUUUUUGUAAAUUUUUAAAGUUUUAUUUUUAUAGAUUCAGGGGUACAUGUAUAGGUUUGUUAUGUGGAUAUACUGUGUAGUGGUAGGGUUUGGGCUUUUAGUGUGCCUAUCACCC